UGAUUUAAAAGAGUGUGGUACCUCCCUGCUUUCUCUCUCUCUCUCUCUCACCAUGCAAUAUGCCAGCUCCCCAUUGGCCUUCCACCAUGAUUUCUGAAGCUCUCACCAGAAACUAAGCAAAUGCCAGUGCCAUGCUUCCUGGAUAGCCCGAAGAACUGUGAGGAAGCUGAAGCCCACAGAGGAUAAGAAGCAUCUCAAGGCAUCACAGAGGAAUAAUAGUAAAAUGGGGGCCAAGAAACCAUUGAUUUUGACUCCAAGUCCAGUGAUCUUCCCAUUAUACCAUACAACAAAUUAUUUCAAAUGUAAUAAAAAGGCUAUUAUUUAAAU
rnacentral:lncRNA from 1 species